GUCUCAGAUGUCUCCGUGCACUGGACAAGGCACCUGCCCGGUAAGCAGAAGGGUGUGGGUUCGAUUCCCGCCCCUGGACA